rnacentral:misc_RNA from 1 species
UGCAGGAUCAACCAGGUAGCAUUCCUCACAGACAUCGGGUUGCAAGAUGCGAGACAUGCUUGCAACGCCAAACGUCUUCCGAAUGGGGCAUGUUAUGCCGAUUUCGUUUAGGGGGCAAAUAGAGGUCAAGACCCCGUACCCGCAACGCGUUCUGCAUCCCGAAGGUCAAGAAAAAUUCAUGGGCCGUGACGACAACGCGAAACGUUUUCAAAACGGAACACGAAUUCCACUUUCAUGUUUGCUCGAAGCCGCACCGUGUGCAUGGGCAGCAGUGGGCAAACGGGUAAAAGAUUGGCUAAUGAAUUCCAUCAACGUAGUUAUGUAACACAGGAAACCAACAACACGGACAAGGUCAAGAGUUGCUCUUGUGCCGACUAUUGAAGAGGAACGCACGGUAGGACGUCGUUGCCCAAGCAAGGAUCCAA